rnacentral:rRNA from 1 species
GACGAACGCUGGCGGCGUGCUUAACACAUGCAAGUCGAACGGAAAGGCCCUGCUUUUGUGGGGUGCUCGAGUGGCGAACGGGUGAGUAACACGUGAGUAACCUGCCCUUGACUUUGGGAUAACUUCAGGAAACUGGGGCUAAUACCGGAUAGGAGCUCCUGCUGCAUGGUGGGGGUUGGAAAGUUUCGGCGGUUGGGGAUGGACUCGCGGCUUAUCAGCUUGUUGGUGGGGUAGUGGCUUACCAAGGCUUUGACGGGUAGCCGGCCUGAGAGGGUGACCGGCCAAAUGGGGGAGGAGAUAGGGCCCAGCCCCCUAGGGGGGGGAGGAGGGGGGAAUAUGGAAAAAGGGGGGGAAGCGUGAUGCAGAAACGCCGGGGGGGGGAGGAGGGCUUUGGGGUGGUAAACCGUUUUCGCUGGUGACGAAGGGGGGGGGGGGGUAAUGGGUAAAGAAGCACGGGUAGAUUAGGU